rnacentral:rRNA from 1 species
GAUGAACGCUGGCGGCGUGCCUAAUACAUGCAAGUCGAGCGAACAGACGAGGAGCUUGCUCCUCUGACGUUAGCGGCGGACGGGUGAGUAACACGUGGAUAACCUACCUAUAAGACUGGGAUAACUUCGGGAAACCGGAGCUAAUACCGGAUAAUAUAUUGAACCGCAUGGUUCAAUAGUGAAAGACGGUUUUGCUGUCACUUAUAGAUGGAUCCGCGCCGCAUUAGCUAGUUGGUAAGGUAACGGCUUACCAAGGCAACGAUGCGUAGCCGACCUGAGAGGGUGAUCGGCCACACUGGAACUGAGACACGGUCCAGACUCCUACGGGAGGCAGCAGUAGGGAAUCUUCCGCAAUGGGCGAAAGCCUGACGGAGCAACGCCGCGUGAGUGAUGAAGGUCUUCGGAGCGUAAAACUCUGUUAUUAGGGAAGAACAAAUGUGUAAGUAACUAUGCACGUCUUGACGGGACCUAAUCAGAAAGCCACGGCUAACUACG